UGGCUCAGUUGGUAGAGCAUGGUGUUUGCAACGCCAGGGUUGUGGGUUCAAUUCCCAU
rfam:Salmo salar isolate Sally breed double haploid chromosome ssa18, whole genome shotgun sequence.